ensembl:lncRNA
AGCCUCUCCUGGUUGGAUGAGAACUAAACCUCGCCAAAGCUUGCAGAGAGUCUUUCCAGGUUGCUGUUGAGGAAAAACUGCCUCAUGCUGUCUGCGCUCAGGGGGAAAAAUGGGCUACCGGAGCGUCCGAGUGCUCUUCCGGAUGAAGAGCACACCUUUCAAAGCAUUCAGCUUUUAAGACAACUGCCCAUGGAUGACAUUUUCGCUUCUGAUGCACUUCCUGAAUUCUGGCUUCAAUAGGCACCCUGUCUUCCAGCACCUGGCUUUGAAUACCGCUGGGGCCAGAGACACAGCAGAUCUGCGCUUAAGGAGAAGGUCUCUUUAAGACGCUUUCUCCUCCUCCAGCCUGACUUUCCAUAUUUUAGUAUACAGCAGAGAGGGUGAAAUUCCCCACUGACCCUCUUCAUGGUCUUUUGAAAGCCACAGACACAAUCAGGGUAAUCCUUACGAUCUGGUUUGUGAACACAAUAUUGAGACAGAACUCGUUCAGUGAUACUGAAAAAUAGUCCUGGCAAUGGCACACCAUAAAAAUGAUUUUCAAAGUCAAAACAUUUUGAUUCAGUCGACUGGAAUACAUUAGUGAAAGUCAGUUUUGGCACUGACAUAAAUACGGCACACUUUGUUUUGUUUGGUAAAACAUCAUUUUAAUUCUUGUGCUGUGCAGAAAUUUGAAGUUCCUACUCGAAAAUGACCAGCCUUUUUAAAAAUGUUUGUAAAUCUCUCAUUAUGCUCUAUUAUCAACAAAGAUGGACUUGAACUUAGCACAAGUGCAAGGUUUUAUUUUUUAUUUUUAUUUUUUGGAACUGAUUGGUCAUAGCCCUCACUGAUCUGACCUUAUGCACAAAAAGGAUUAAAUGUGGAUAAUUUUGAUGAUGUUCACUUAAAAAUUGAGGUGAUCAAUGAGGUCUUUGAUCAAUCAGUUCCAAAAAGAAAUACAAAGCCUGCACAUAAUGAGAGUUACAAAAAAAUAUAUAGUAUUAACAGAA